UGAAGAUGUGUUGGGAGUGAA
rnacentral:piRNA from 1 species